GAAAUGCGAUAAGUAGUGUGAAUUGCAGAAUUCAGUGAAUCAUCGAAUCUUUGAACGCACAUUGCGCCCCCUGGUAUUCCGGGGGGCAUGCCUGUUCGAGCGUCAUUUCACCACUCAAGCCUCGCUUGGUAUUGGGCAACGCGGUCCGCCGCGUGCCUCAAAUCGACCGGCUGGGUCUUCUGUCCCCUAAGCGUUGUGGAAACUAUUCGCUAAAGGGUGCUCGGGAGGCUACGCCGUAAAACAACCCCAUUUCUAAGGUUGACCUCGGAUCAGGUAGGGAUACCCGCUGAACUUAAGC
rnacentral:misc_RNA from 1 species